rnacentral:rRNA from 1 species
GUAUCCUGGCUCAGGAUGAACGCUAGCGGCAGGCCUAACACAUGCAAGUCGAGGGGCAGUCGGGAUUGAAGCUUGCUUCAAUUGCCGGCGACCGGCGCACGGGUGCGUAACGCGUAUGUAACCUACCUNUAACAGGGGCAUAACACUGAGAAAUUGGUACUAAUUCCCCAUAAUAUUCGGAGAGGCAUCUCUCCGAGUUGAAAACUCCGGUGGUUAUAGAUGGACAUGCGUUGUAUUAG